UGAUGUGUCUGGCACUACGAUGGGAGCUCUCGCACAAUUCGGUUUCCAGUCGCUCGCGAGAUGAGGUGCGGAGAGGUGAUCAGCGCGGCCGCCAUUUUGGGGGCGGCCCUGGUGACCGGCGUCGUGGCCGGCAUCGUGACCGGCACGCCGGGCACGGUCCCUCGCGGUGAGGGUGGACGAAACUCUAACAAUAUUUUGGGCGCGAAUAUUCGGAGACUGAGCGCAGGACAGGAAGAUAUGGAUGGAAUGGAACGAACCGUGUCCAACGCAGUCGGACGAGGGGUUGAAAGUGUUCUGGUGACCGUUGAUGGAAACGCCGCAAACGAUACGAAAAUCUCAAACGAGGAGGACGGAACUACUGGGGACGGCAAGGAGUUGGCCAGUGUUAUUUUACCGCGAGCAGUCAAGAUUUCAUUGAAAUGGGACACUGAUUACUCCUCUGGUAAACACAAUUCUGGCUAUGGCGGUAGGAGUAGGUCAUCGUAUGACAGCUAUGAAAGCAGCAGUGGUAGCUCUGAGUCCGACGAUGACAGUCUGUACCAAUGUUCGCGUUGCGGUCAUAGCAGCGGCGGCGGCAGAGGCUCUCACUCGCACAGUUUCUCUAUCAGCGGUCGGAGGAGCGGCAUGACCCCCGCCGACUCUUACGAAUACAACGACGCCGACUCGGACUCGGACUCGGACUCGGACAGUUUCAGUUCUUACAGCGGCAGUGGCUUCAGCCGCAUGGGAGACAUGGGUGACAUGGACAUGGAGGCGGACCAACUGGAGGCGGAUGAGCCGUGGGAUGCUGACCCUUUCGCGAGAAUUCAAAAGUCGCGGCUCCCACAAUGGGAUGACGACGACGAAUACGAAGACGACAUGGGCCCUCCGACUCCUCCAAGUCGGGGAUCCAGGACCCCGAUUGGAGGAUCGAGCCGACUUGCAGGGUCGCGGACACCGACUGCAGGGUCGCCGAGGCGAACUGGAGGAUCGCGGACUCCAACUCGAGGUUGGGAUGACCCAAGUGACGAUUACGCACCCUCCGCCUCCAGGUACGACACCACGUACCAUAACGACGCAUACGAAACCCCAAGACGUAAGACGUCGUACGGUGACAAGGGUUACGCAACGCCAAAACGCAAGACGUCGUAUGUUGAAGACAGUUACGAAACAUCUCCAGGCAUGCUUGGGUCGAACGCGGGGAUCUUCUCCAGCUUUAACCCCGCCAGUGGCUUCAAGAAUGGCUUAAACAGGGGUUUUAGUGGUAGUUUUGGGGUUGGAUACAACGUUCCCUUCAAUGGUGGCUUCAGCAGUGGCUACGGGGGCGGUUUCGGUGGUGGCCACGGUGGUUUUGGCGGCUUCGGUGGUAGAAAUAACUUCAUGAUUUCGACCCGAGUGUUUGACGCUGUGCAGGAUUUGAUCGAGGACCAGUCCAUGUUUUACGUGACGUUUGAAUGUCAGCCCAAAGUCGGUAAAUACUUUUGUAAAAUGCAGUGUAAAGAGCGCGACGAAAAAUUGACAGGAACCUGCGACGGUGGAUAUUGCAACUGCAUUCUCAAAUGGGAGAAAAAGAUGAAGAAGGCGAUGAGCAAACAAUUCCGAGCUGCUAUGGAGGGUUACAACACGGAUUGCAGCGACUACAAGGAGGCGAAACAUUGCAAACGGUUCUGCAAAGCUCUGACACCGGACAAAACGUUCACCGGUCAGUGCAACGUGAACCACUGCCAAUGCGUGACCUACCCGAAGACCCCGGGCAAGAAGAAGAACGCUUGCACGAAAGCCAUCAAGAAGCUGAAGAAGGUCGAAGACAAAGCGCUGUAUGGUCUGGGGAUCAAACCGAAGCCGCUGAGCAGCCUCGGUGCCGACGCCGAGAAGCAGGUCAACGCAGUCGCCGACGAAGCCAUCGAGAAGUUGAAGGCCGCCAACUCCAUGGACGGGUGCACCGAGAAGGACAUACAGGAUCUAAAGUCCAUCAUAUCUAGUCUCUCACAAGGAUUGAACCUGGUCAAAGGGGUAGACUACGCGUCAAUCCUCACUGGCGGGGGAAGCGGUAAAGGCGCCGGGAGUAGUCCUGGGAGUCCCGGUAAAAGUGGUGGAAGUUUCGAGAGGAGUGUUGGAAGUCCCGGCAGAAGUGGUGGAGGUGGAUACGGUGGAAGUGGUGGAGGUGGAUAUGGAGGAAGUGCUGAAGGUGGAUAUGGCGGAAGUGGCGGAGGAGGCGGUGGAUAUGGUGGAAGCUCCAGUAGAAGUGGUGGAGGUGGAGGUGGCGGUGGAUAUGAUGGAAGUUCCAGUAGAAGUGGUGGAGGUGGCGGUGGAUAUGCUGGAAGUCCCAGAGGUGGUGGAGGCGGUGGAAGUCCCCGUAGAGGUGGCGGAGGCGGUGGAGGAGGAUACGGUGGAUAUGGUGGUGGUGGUGGAGGUUGAGGUGGCAGUUGGCAACAGCAGCUUGUAUGAUCAGGAUUAAAUAUUUUCAUUCAUAUUUGGCAAAUAGUAAACUCUGUCAAUGAUUAAAACAUGUCUUAUGCAUCACCAAACUUCAUUCUGUAUAGUGAUUCGAUGAAGCCAAACUGUUAAUUAUCUCGGAGUGAAGUCCGGCGCGAAUUUCACUCCGCAGCGGUCAGAUUAUUGAUAUUGAUAGGCAAAGCAAUGGACAAGGAAGUAAAAGGAAAAUAGAGAAUUUGCAGGUGUCUUAUAUUUUGUGUAUUUCAUCUAUAAAAUGAUACAACAAGGAAAACUGAGCGUGAGGAUAUCGUCGGUCUCUAAAUUGAACAAUUAUUGGAGAAAAUAUGAUAAAAUAACCUAAUCUGCUAAAAUACAUGUGUUUAAAUGGGUAACGCCGCCAGAUGACGUCACAAGGCGGCAAAUUUUCUCACUUUUAAUGUGAUAAUGACGAUCGAUUAAUUGUAGGAACUCUCGUGGGUUGCCGUUAAUUAGUAUAUUAUUUAUCUCUUUUUUUCCCUCGCAAUCACCCGUCCUCACCAAUAGGAUCACUCCAUUUUCCAAGCGCCUUUGUUUUGUUCGUCUAUACAUACAGGGUUAUUCAAAAGUCACGCACCACUGGACAUAACUUCAGUUCUAAUUAUGAUAUCGAUUUGCGGUUUAAGAUGUUUUUCCUCAUAUCGAGGGGGGAACUUUUUAGGUACUUUCCAGCUUUUGAUCCCCUCGGGGGAGGGGGGCGGGGGCAACUUAAAACUUUCAAAUGGCCACUCCACUCAUGGCCAGUGGUGCGUAACUUUUGAAUAACCCUGUAUAUCUUUGCCCAUUGAUUUGUCAUUACAAGCAUGUCCAAAGGAAGUAUCACGCAGCGCCUUGUAACCUUGCCCUCUAUUACAUUGCGUAACACUAGAAUAUACUUACAUACAUCGAGAAAAAGUUGAUAUUCAUUUAAGCAGAACUAUUCUUAAAAUUGCCGCCUCUUAACCAAUGAGAAUAGAUGACCAAAUCUGGAAGGAAGGCGCGAACAUCUCGACGAAACCUAUUUAAUUGAAGUGAUUGUAUCACUGAGUCAAGAAGA
rnacentral:lncRNA from 1 species